rnacentral:rRNA from 1 species
AUUGAACGCUGGCGGCAGGCCUAACACAUGCAAGUCGAACGUGUGGCGGACGGGUGAGUAAUGUCUGGGAACCUGCCCGAUGGAGGGGGAUACCUACUGGAAACGGUAGCUAUUACCGCUACCCAUCGGAUGUGCCCAGAUGGGAAUAGCUAGUAGGUGGGGUAACGGCUCACCUAGGCGACGGUCCCUAGCUGGUCUGAGAGGAUGACCCGCAACACGGGAACGGGGACACGGUGCAGACUCCGAAGGGAGGCACCAGUGGGGAAUAUUGGGCAAGGGGCAGAAGGCGAUAGCGGGCAAUCGGCGUGUCUGUAAAAGGCCAUCGGGGUGUAAAGGACUUUCAGCGAGGAAGCGUUACUCGAAGAAGAAGCACCGGCUAACUCCGUGCCAGCAGCCGCGGUAAUUC